GAGGGAGCGUCCGCGGCCCGCGCAGAGCCGCGCACCAAGCCGAUGGCGGUGGACGCAGCAGGGCCCCGCGGUCUGAGUGCGGGCAGGCGCGCGUGGGCGUGUCUCCCUGGCCCACGCGUGUCCCCGGCAUCAGUGUCUCGGCUCUGGUCCAGGACGAAGACUUCUGAAAGCGAGCCAAGGAGAAUCACAGUUCUUAACGGAGCCCCUGACUGCCCUGUGGAAGGAGGUGAUUUAGAAGAAAGUGAGUUGAUCUGGGGCAAAGUGAAGCAUCAGUAGCGCCUUCCAUCCCUUCACCUCAUCUGGAUCUCUUCACUUCACUCCACGUCUGUCGUCUCCCAUGCAUGAAGCAACAUGGACAAGUGAAGCUGCAACCAGUAAAGUGUAAGGUAUCAAGUAGUGACAAUGAUGGUGUCAAAUAA
ensembl:lincRNA Crnde colorectal neoplasia differentially expressed (non-protein coding)